rnacentral:rRNA from 1 species
UACGUAGGGUCCGAGCGUUGUCCGGAAUUACUAGGCGUAAAGAGCUCGUAGGUGGUUUGUCGCGUUGUUCGUGAAAACUCACAGCUCAACUGUGGGCGUGCGGGCGAUACGGGCAGACUUGAGUACUGCAGGGGAGACUGGAAUUCCUGGUGUAGCGGUGGAAUGCGCAGAUAUCAGGAGGAACACCCGUGGCGAAGGCGGGUCUCUGGGCAGGAACUGACGCUGAGGAGCGAAAGCGUGGGGAGCGAACAGG